GAAGUGUAGCGCCACCCCGCGUCAGCAUCACUGCCAUUGAUGAAGUUGAACACUGAUUGGAGGCAGAUUCUUGCAGAUAAAUAUCACUUUUCGUUCGGAUAUACAGGUCAUUGAUUGAGUUGACAUUCAUAAUUGUAUUGAAGAAUUAGUCUGACAACUGCUGGUCUAGCAGUUUAUAGGAGAUCGUCUCAUUCUAAAGUUUUAUAGAAUAUGAUGUGAUUGCAACCAUUCUCCCUCGUUGUUGUCGUCGUCAACCUCUUCAUUGACCACCAUGCCGUAUGAUAGCCCCCUCUAUGACUUUUUAGAUGACCUGGACCUCCAACACUACCACCAGGAGUUUGUGAACAAGCUUGGAGUGACCGCUCUUGACCAUUUGACGUACGUCCAGCAAGAUGAUGUCAACCAGCUUGGGAUGUCGCAGCCAGAAUGGAGACGACUUCGAGCGUCGAUGAAGAAAGUCAAGAAAGCUAAGAAGGGAGGCAAAAAUGUGACCAAGCCCCCGCCACCCCUAUCCAGGGUGACUGCCCCCGGCCCAGGGGGCCCACCCAGUGGAGGGCACAUCAUCCCUGCCACAGACAUCACCAUCCUGGACAAGGAACUAGGUCAGGGAGAGUUUGGCAAGGUCAUGCAGGGGGUCUGGAGCAACAGAGAAGGCAAUCAGGUAAGGAGGAGUUCAGUGGACAAAUUUCAAAGCAAUUCUUUUUUUUGGGGGGGGGGGGGUGGAGUGAGGGGGAAGUAUUGCUUUUUUCACUGUGAGCUCUGUGUGUGUUUGUUUUUUACCUAUGUUUAGAGCCUGUACGGAAACCAUCUUCAUACAGUGUUCAAAUCUUUGCAAAUUUAUACCGAUAAUAUUCAUUCAUAUACAUCUUUGUUUCUGUAAUAUCACAGAAUUCAAACUUUCAUUGAAUAUUAUAUAUUAGUUUUUCUUCUACAUGUAACCAGAUAUUUUGCGAAUACAUUUUUCUUGAAAAUUAUUAUAGCCCGCUCUAUCCCAGGACUCUGUUUUCUGUUGGUGUUUGCCUGCAUGUAGUUCAUAAAUACUUAAUACAUAAAUCUACAACAUAGUGAUAUCCUAGCUUCCAAAUCUUAUUUGUUGGGAUUUGACAUGAGCAAAACAUGAUUGUCAUCCCUCUUCCCAAAUUCAUAGUCUAACCUUUGUAAAAUUGCAUUUAGUUUAAUAAAAAAGAUUUCGGUGUUACUUCUUCCUUUAUGUAAAAUAUCAAGUUAACAGCUCUGCAGAUAGUACAUGUACCCUAGAUCAUUCUGUGUAGAAAAUACUACACACAAUUAUUCAUUUCUUGAUAGAUCACCCUUUGGGUCCUCUCCUUCAUAUUCAUGACAAUAGAAAAGGAUCUACCUCUUCAUUUUAAAGUCCUAUAAAACCUCUGCUUUCCUUGAAUUUUGAGGUCAGAAGCUUCAUUAAUAAAGUUUGCAAAGUGCAAACUUUACUUUAAUAGCUUUAUCCAUUGUGGAUUAAGAUCCAAGAAAAGGUUGAUGACAUUAUCGAUUGUUCUGGCUCACAUGAAGGCUUCUUCAAAUUGUAUUCUAUGAACAUUCAGUGGUGACGUCUGAACGGUUUGUUUGGUGCAAGACUCUUAUAUGCCAACAUGUGGGUUUUUAGAAGAAAACAGAUGAUACCCUGACAAAUAGUGAGAAACAAGUUUUGUUUGUUUGUAUAAAGCAUGGACCUACUAGUAUAAAGUAAACAACACUGCUGUACUUAGACAAUGCAAUACCUUAUCUUACGAGGUAUUGGUUGAGAAAUUAUGACACCGUUUUCACUACUAGUGUACUGGAAACUAGUUCAACGUGUAGUGAAAACGGUUGAAGCGAUCUUCCGAACCGGUUCAGCAAACCACCUUGCGAUGUAGUUUCCAAGAUCGCUCUGCCUUGUUAAACUGGUUUUAGCGUAAGUGAGGACACAACUGUUCUUUGGGAAGCGAUCUUCGCACAUUUUGACUGCGCUACUCCACACGACAGGUGCAGUAUUCAUCAACAACAAAGAAACUAUUCAAGAUAUCUUUUGAAUGAAAAUUGGGGGCGGGAGUCGGUUGGUACACAAAUAAUAUUUCAGAAAAGAGUAGGCCUAUAUGUAUUAAAAGAAAGUGCAUUGAGGCAUAUUCACCAUACACUCUAGACGGGCCUUUUAAAUGGAUGGAAAUGGGAUAAAUAGAGAAUAAAUAGAAUUUUGGAAUGGGAAAUUGGAUUGAAGGGGGGGGGGGGUUGAUAAUGAAAUAGAAUGGUAAUAAAAAAGCUAAGCUGUUGAUGGGUUAAAAUCUCUAUUGAAAUUGAUAAAUCUCUCAAUGAGCGAAGUGCUGCCAUUCUAUAUUUUCCUUUUAAAUCAUUAUAUUAAGGGGAUGAAUCUCAUUUAGAGACUCUGAAUUGUAGAAAUUUAUUUGGAAAUCUUUGACCGGAAAUUGCUCAAUGCGUCAUCUACGUACUCUAUCUAGUGCCAGUGGCUCCUGAGACAAAGAACUCUGACCAAAUCUGAUUGGAUGGAAAAUACAGUAUUCAUGAUGUGGAACAACAAGUAUUACUCCAAGCAAAUUUAUCAAAGCCAAAGGGUUUUUAAAGAGUUUUUAAAAAUAAUUUUCAUAAAUCACAAAGUACCUGUUUUUUUUUCUGUAGGUCUGUGUAGAGCAAACAAUUGCCUGCAGUAUUCUAAAUACCAUAGUAAUUAUAUGGAGGUAAAGGGAACUCCACGGUAAUUGCAUGCAUUUGAAGGGUUUCGGAAACCUUUCAAGUUCGUUGAAGUUGCAUUCCUUUGGGAAUGUUUUCUUUUAAUGUGGCAAUCGAGCAAGCAAUGCAAGCAAACAAUGGAAAUUUCUAAAAUUUGUAGGAAUAACCCGUGAAGGAAUGUUCACCAUCUUCCCUAAGUGUCUUAUGGGUUUGGAAAAUUCUGUCUCCGAAAAUAGAUGAUAGUACACCGGUGGAUAAAAGAAAUUCUAUAGCAGUUCAUAAGUCAUUCUUUAUCACUCUAUACAGUUGGCACUUUGUGUCAAGAAAGAACCAUUACCGAUGCACAUGUUAUACAGAUCAAGAAAAGCUAAAUUUAUUUCUUUGAUGGACUUUUAAAAUGUCUCAUGUCGCCCUCCAUCUGUUUGUACGUAGGCCAUAUAUUUAAAAUGGUCUGCAAUAUCCAGGGUGCACAUCCAGGGAUCACUCAAAGUCACAUUGAAGGUUGUGAUGUUCUGUGAGAUUUGGGCCCCCGUCUUACAAAAAAUUGCGAUUAAUCCGAUCGAUCACAGCUAUGGAUGGCCAGCAACUUCAACAUCUAUUUUGCAAACUUUGUUCAAAAUAUUUUUAACUAUGAUGUAUAUUCAAGCAUUCAUUGUUUCCU
rnacentral:lncRNA from 1 species